GAAUUGGGAAUAAAUGUGUCUCUGAGUGGCUGCUGCUUCUGACACCGAGCAACAAAGUACAAUUUAAAAUGAUUUGCUUAACUUAAUGUUACAAUUCAAUUCAGUUGCUUUUUAUAGGACAAAAGUCCCCUGAAGCCAGUGUACACAGUAAACCAGACUUUUUCAGAUCCAUGUGUGUUCAUAGUGUGCAGGAAGUGGUGAGCUGGAGCUCCAGCAGCUCAACGUCCAGCGUGACACCCAGAAACCCUCCUGAGUCUUCAGGUCCAUGCAGUGUGACCCUGACCAGAUCCACCGUCAGUCAGCUGCUCUGACCCCCAUGCUGGGUCACAAGGUUACACGCUGUGUGGGACUUCCUGAAAACACAGAGUCCUGUGGACACCUGAGCUGCUGGUCUCUGCAGCUCCUCCAGAGCCACCAUGGUCCUCCUGCUUCUCUGAUCAACAGUCGCUCAGUUCCAUCCUGGAUCUAAAAGGAAUUCUGUAAAAAUUGUUCAACAUUGAAAACCUGAACCAGUAAAUCCAAACAGCUUGAACAGCAAGGAUGGCUCUGCAGCCGGGAUUGUAAGGCACCGGGACCGUUUGGACCUGACGGGU